AAAGUUUUGGUCCCUGAAGA
rnacentral:miRNA from 1 species